rnacentral:lncRNA from 1 species
GGCAGGUCUGAGCCAGGUAAACGCCCUUGGGUGAGGUCCGUGAAAGAUAAAGUCAGAUCUCAAGGACAGAGAGCUUUAAACAUGUUUGUGCUCCACUGAGUCGGUUACCUAAUAAGUGAGAAAAUGAAGAUGUGGAUGCACAAAAAUUCCAUGGCCUUUAGGCUCGCGGUGGGGACAGGGUACAGGGAAGCGGCGGUCUGGUGCUGCCAAAGGUUAGUCCCUUGUACCCGGCGAACUCAGGAAAGUUCACUCGAUUUCGCUACAAACCUGCAGCACUCGGCCUGGAGGUAACCUGGUUGGGAGCGAAUUCAGAACUGGAAAUUCCAGGCGGCCCAGAGGGACACCCAUCCCUCUCCGAGGCGCGCCGGGAUCCGGCGCCCAGCUGCG